CGUCUGAACCGGUGCUGUGAGCGAGUCCAUUCACUUUAGCCCACCCCUCCCGUGGCUCGUUUGCUGAGAAAAGUUGGUGAGUUUUAGUUGGUAGGAAAGUCUUGAAGUUUCCCCAUGGCCAAGGUAAUUUUACAGUAAGUCCCCUACAUAGGAAAUUUCUAAAUUGAAAGUUGCACACUUUCAAAGGUGGGAAGUGCCUUCGCAUGUCCAGUUACCUAAGUUAGUUCACAUGUCUGGCGUACAUUGGCACGUGUGUGCGUCCUUUACAAGUGGUUUUGCUUUUUUUAUUUUUUUACUAUAUAGAGUACAAUAAUAUAGUAUCUUUAUUUCAAGCCCAAGAUAACCUGAAGCGAGUUAAAGCAGUGGUGAUGUAGCUGGUACUACUGUACUUUUCAAGGACCAGUUGCACGCUUGCACUGCUCUUUGUGCUUCCGAAAGCGGGGCAAGGAGCAGUGGGGCACGUGGCAGGCAGGGCAGCGGUAUUUGGGCUUCUCCAAACAGAUAACACAGCAGAGGGCGGUACAGCAGCUGAGCGACGCCAUGGUCUCUCCCAGGAUGCACUCCCCGCCUGCCUCCUCCCCCUAGUUUAUAUGUUAAAGUUCUAAUCCCCAGUACCUCAAAAUGUGACAUCUGGAAAUAGGGUUCUUACAGAUGUAAUUAGUUAAAAUGACAUCAUAACUGCAGUAGGAUGGGCCCUAAUUCAGUGUGACUGGUAUCCUUAUAAGCAGAAGGCCAUAUGAAGACAGAGACACACAAGGAAAUGCCAUGUGAAGAUAAAAACAGAGAUGAGGGUGAUGCAGUAGAAACCAAGGAAUGCCAAAGAUUGCCAGCAAACCACUAGAAGCUAGGGGAGAGAACAUGGAACAGGUUUUCCCUCACAACCCUUAGAAGGACUAAGCCUACUGACACCUUAAUCUCAGACUUCUAGCCUCCGGAAUGUGAGACAAUAUAUUUCUAUUGUUUAGGAUUUACCUGAUGGUACAGUGGAUAAGAAUCCACCUGCCAAUGCAGGGAACACAGAUUUAAUCCCUGAUCCAGGAAGAUUCCACAUGCCCUGGAGCACUAAGGGUGUGCACCACAACUGCUUAAGACCCAGUGCAGCCAAAAAUAAAUGAAUGAAUAAAUAAAUUAUUUUAAAAAUCGUUUAAACAUACAUUUCUGUUGUUUAAAUCACCUUGGUAACACAGCCCUAAGAAACUAAUGCAGGCACACAAAUGGUGUGCCCACAGUGGUAGAGAUAGAAGCUAGCUCCUGAAGUAGGUUGCCAUUUCCUUCUCCAGGGGAUCUUCCCAACCCAGGUAUUGAACCUGGGUCACCCACAUUGCAGGCAGACUCUUUACCAAGUGAGCCACCAUGGAAGACAAGCUAGCUGUGGGCCCAUAAAGCUUGGACUUCCAAGUUUUUAAGGCCAGUCUAGCUGGUGAUGCCUAAAUGCCCAACAUAUCAGCAAUAGAGACCAAUGCUGAUCCCCCAGUUUGGAUCUAUUACUCAAGGAGACAGUUGGCUACUUGGUGACAAGUUAACUAC
rnacentral:lncRNA from 1 species